UUAUCCUGUGAUCCGUCCACUUAA
rnacentral:sRNA from 1 species